UGAAAAAAAAAUUCCCUCACCAAAGACAUAACAAGGAAAGAUGUGGAAAAAGCAGUGCCAAAAUGGCUGAUUGGUGCCAGGGACAGGGGAUGCAACCGUGCCAUUAGAGCACAUGGAGGAGAGCAAAACCGUUGCUUUCAGGCUAUUGGAGAGUUCGAGAGAAAGGUCGCUGUGGGGGGUGAAGCAGCAGACCAAACUGCAGAAAGCCAGGACUAGGGCUGUUUUCCUCCAUCUAUGUUACUUCCUGUAUGUUUCUGUAUGUUCCUGUUGCAGUGUUCCUCCAUCUAUGUUACUUCCUGUAUGUUUCUGUAUGUUCCUGUUGCAGUGUUCCUCCAUCUAUGUUACUUCCUGUAAGUUUCUGUAUGUUCCUGUAUGUUCCUUAGCAGAAAGUGUUCGUGUUUGCUCUCCUGG